AGGAUGAAGCUUGGAUGAAACUAAGCAGAGGUCCGAACCGACUGAUGUUGAAGAAUCAGCGGAUGAGUUGUGGUUAGGGGUGAAAUGCCACUCGAACCCAGAGCUAGCUGGUUCUCCCCGAAAUGCGUUGAGGCGCAGCAGUUGACGGGACAUCUAGGGGUAAAGCACUGUUUCGGUGCGGGCUGCGCGAGCGGUACCAAAUCGAGGCAAACUCUGAAUACUAGAUAUGACCCAAAAAUAACAGGGGUCAAGGUCGGCCAGUGAGACGAUGGGGGAUAAGCUUCAUCGUC
rfam:Hordeum vulgare subsp. vulgare, WGS project CAJW01000000 data, contig: morex_contig_1522449